AAAGUGGAGCAAUCCAUGAGUAGAGUGGCAAACGGGUGAGUAACACGUGGGUGACCUGCCUUCGAGCGGGGGAUAACGUCCCGAAAGGGACGCUAAUACCGCAUAACAUCCUGCCUUUUAAGAGGUGGAGAUCAAAGCCGGGGAUCGCAAGACCUGGCACUUGAAGAGGGGCCCGCGCCUGAUUAGCUAGUUGGUGGGGUAAUGGCUCACCAAGGCAACGAUCAGUAUCCGGCCUGAGAGGGCGGACGGACACACUGGGACUGAGACACGGCCCAGACUCCUACGGGAGGCAGCAGUGGGGAAUUGUUCGCAAUGGGCGCAAGCCUGACGACGCAACGCCGCGUGGAGGAUGAAGACCUUCGGGUCGUAAACUCCUUUCGAUCGAGACGAAUGGUUUCCGGGUGAACAAUCCGGAGAAGUGACGGUACCGAGAGAAGAAGCCCCGGCUAACUCCGUGCCAGCAGCCGCGGUAAUACGGGGGGGGCAAGCGUUGUUCGGAAUUACUGGGCGUAAAGGGCUCGUAGGUGGCCAACUAAGUCAGACGUGAAAUCCCUCANCUUAACUGGGGAACUGCGUCUGAUACUGGAUGGCUUGAGUUUGGGAGAGGGAUGCGGAAUUCCAGGUGUAGCGGUGAAAUGCGUAGAUAUCUGGAGGAACACCGGUGGCGAAGGCGGCAUCCUGGACCAAUACUGACACUGAGGAGCGAAAGCCAGGGGAGCAAACGGGAUUAGAUACCCCGGUAGUCCUGGCCCUAAACGAUGAAUGCUUGGUGUGGCGGGUAUCGAUCCCUGCCGUGCCGAAGCUAACGCA
rnacentral:rRNA from 1 species